UAGGGAAUCUUCCACAAUGGACGCAAGUCUGAUGGAGCAACGCCGCGUGAGUGAAGAAGGUUUUCGGAUCGUAAAGCUCUGUUGUUGGUGAAGAAGGAUAGAGGCAGUAACUGGUCUUUAUUUGACGGUAAUCAACCAGAAAGUCACGGCUAACUACGUGCCAGCAGCCGCGGUAAUACGUAGGUGGCAAGCGUUGUCCGGAUUUAUUGGGCGUAAAGCGAGCGCAGGCGGAAUGAUAAGUCUGAUGUGAAAGCCCACGGCUCAACCGUGGAACUGCAUCGGAAACUGUCAUUCUUGAGUGCAGGAAAGGAGAGUGGAAUUCCAUGUGUGGCGGUGGAAUGCGUAGAUAUAUGGAAGAACACCAGUGGCGAAGGCGGCUCUCUGGUCUGCAACUGACGCUGAGGCUCGAAAGCAUGGGUAGCGAACAGG
rnacentral:rRNA from 1 species